GAUGAACGCUGGCGGCGUGCCUAAUACAUGCAAGUCGAGCGAACAGACGAGGAGCUUGCUCCUCUGACGUUAGCGGCGGACGGGUGAGUAACACGUGGAUAACCUACCUAUAAGACUGGGAUAACUUCGGGAAACCGGAGCUAAUACCGGAUAAUAUAUUGAACCGCAUGGUUCAAUAGUGAAAGACGGUUUUGCUGUCACUUAUAGAUGGAUCCGCGCCGCAUUAGCUAGUUGGUAAGGUAACGGCUUACCAAGGCGACGAUGCGUAGCCGACCUGAGAGGGUGAUCGGCCACACGGGAACUGAGACACGGUCCAGACUCCUACGGGAGGCAGCAGUAGGGAAUCUUCCGCAAUGGGCGAAAGCCUGACGGAGCAACGCCGCGUGAGUGAUGAAGGUCUUCGGAUCGGAAAACUCUGUUAUUAGGGAAGAACAAAUGUGUAAGUAACUAUGCACGUCUUGACGGUACCUAAGCAGAAAGCCACGGCUAACUACGUG
rnacentral:rRNA from 1 species